UCGCACUAGUUGGGGAGAUAGCGGUGCCCUGUAACCUGCAAUCCGCUACAGCAGGAAUGAAUUCCCGUAUGAGGGGCUGUACUGUAUCGCCUGUCCCGGCAAGUGGUGUUGAGGAAUCGGUCUCACGCAACGGGCUCCCGUGAACCAUGUCAGGCGGGGAACCGAGCAGCAUUAAGCGGACCUGUCCGUGUGCCGUGAGUCAGCCGUUUCUGAGCUAACUACCGGGGAAACGGGUAUAGUGCCGUUUCAGGUACGGGUGUGCGA
rnacentral:SRP_RNA from 1 species